rfam:Rattus norvegicus chromosome X, whole genome shotgun sequence.
GGGGAUUUAGCUCAGUGGUAGAGCGCUUGCCUAGCAAGCGCAAGGCCCUGGGUUUGUUCCCCAGCUCCG